AACGCGAAGAACCUUACCUACUCUUGACAUCCUGCGAACUUGGUAGAGAUACCUUGGUGCCUUCGGGAACGCAGAGACAGGUGCUGCAUGGCUGUCGUCAGCUCGUGUUGUGAAAUGUUGGGUUAAGUCCCGUAACGAGCGCAACCCUUGUCCUUAGUUGCCAUCAUUUAGUUGGGGACUCUAAGGAGACUGCCGGUGACAAACCGGAGGAAGGCGGGGGCGACGUCAAGUCAUCAUGGCCCUUACGAGUAGGGCUACACACGUGCUACAAUGGCAAGUACAGAGGGCCGCGAAGCCGCGAGGUGGAGCUAAUCUCACAAAGCUUGUCGUAGUCCGGAUUGGAGUCUGCAACUCGACUCCAUGAAGUCGGAAUCGCUAGUAAUCGCAAAUCAGAAUGUUGCGGUGAAUACGUUCCCCGGGUCUUGUACACACCG
rnacentral:rRNA from 1 species